rnacentral:lncRNA from 1 species
GCGUCUUCUGCGUCGCUCAUGCUGGGAGCUGUAGACCGGAGCUGUUCCUAUUCGGCCAUCUUGGCUCCUCCUACGUUUCAUAAAUUUCUAAGAUCAGCAAUGUGGGAGACAGGAGCUUCACCUUCAGGCUGGAUUCCAUGAUGGAGAAAACACAUGGAGCAGACCAGCAGUUAUUUGCAGCUAUCAUGUGAGGUCUCCCUAUUCCUUGGGACACAACUGUAUUGAAAUUAGACCAACUAAUACUUCUACAAAGACUUCUGAGUGUUGAAGUGAAAGGAAGAGUUGCACGUCUCUUAUUUUAAAUCAAAAGCUAGACAUGAUGAAGCUUAGUGAGAAAGGUCUGUAGAAAGAUAAGAUGGGCCAAAAGCUAGGCCUCUUGCAUCAGCUAACUGUGGUGUGAAUGCAAAGGAAAAGCUUUUGAGGAAAAUGAAAAUUCUACUCCAGUGAACACACAAAUGACCAGAAAGCAUAACAGCCUUAUUGCUGAAAAGAAGAAAGUUUGAGUGGUUUGGAUAGAGAAUCAAACCAGCCCCAACAUUCCCCUAAGCCAAAGCCUAAUUCAGAGGAAAGUUCUAACUCUUUUCAAUUCUGUGAAGGCUGAGAGAGGUGAGGAAACAGCAGGAGAAAAGUUUAAAGCCACCAGAGGUUGGCUUAUGAGGUUUAAGGAAAUAAAGCAACCAUCUCCAUAACAUAAAAGUGCAAGUGGAGAAGCAAGUGCUUAUGAAGAAGCUGAAGCAAGUCAUCCAGAAGAUCUAGCUAAGAUAAUUGAUGAAGGUGGCUACACUACACAACAUGUGUUAACAGCCUUCUACUGAAAGAAGAUGCCAUCUAAGACUUUCGUAGCUACAGAGAAGUCAAUACCUGGCUUCAAAGCUUCAAAGAACAGGCUGACUCUCUCAUUAGGGGCUAAUGCAGCUGGUCACUUGAAGUUGAAACCAAUGCUCAUUAACCAGUCUGAAAGUCCUUGGGCCCUUAAGAAUUAUGCUAAACCUACUCUGCCUGUGCCCUAUAAAUGAAACAACAAAGCCUGAUGAAAGCGCUCCUGUUUAUACUAUGGUUUACUGAAUAUUUUAAGCCCACUGUUGAGACCUACUGCUUCAAAAAAAAGAUUCCUUUCUAAAUAUUACUGCUCAUUGACAAUGAAGCUGGUAACCCAAGAGCUCUGACGGAAAUAUACAAGAAGAUUAAUGUUGUUUUCAUGCCUGCAAACAAAUCAUCCAUUUUGUAGCACACAGAUAAAGGAGUAAUUUUUACUUUCAAGUCUUAUUAUUUAAGAAAAACACUUCAUAAGGCUACAACUGCCAUAGUGACAUUUAUGAUGGAUCUGAGCAAAGUACAUUGAAAAUCUUCUGGAAAGGAUGCACCAUUCUAGAUGUCCUUAAGAACAUUUGUGAUUCACGGGAAGAGAUCAAAAUAUCAACACUAACAGGAAUUUAAAGGAGGUUAAUUCCAACUCUCAUGGAAGACUUUGAGGCAUUCAAGGUUUCAGUGGAGGAAGUUCCUAUAGAUGUAGUGGGCAGAGUGAGAAAAGUAGAAUCAGAAGUGGAGCCUGAGUACAUAACUGAAUCUCAGGAUAAAAUUUGAACAAAUGAGGAGUUGCUUCUUAUGGAUAGGCCAAGAAAGAGGUUUCUUGAGAUAGAAUCCACUCCUGGUGAAGAUGCUGUGAACAUUUUUGAAAUGACAACACACAAAAAUAGAAUAUUUUCUAAACUUAGUUGAUGAGACAGCAUCAGAAUUUGAAAGGUUCGACUCUAGUUUUGAAAGGUUCUGCUGUGGGUAAGAUGCUAUCAAACAGCAUCACAUGCUACAGAGAAAUGGUUGGUAAAAGGAAGAGUCAAUGGAUGCACCAAACUUUCCUGUUUUAUUUUAAGAAAUAACCACAACUAACUCAACCUUCAGUAACCACCACCUGAUCAUUCAGCAGCAGCCAUCAACCUUGAGGGAAGACCUUCUAGCAACAAAAAGAUUAAGACUCUGAAGGGUCAGAUGAGCAGUAGCUUUUUUUUUUUAGUAAUAAAGUAAAGUAUUUUUAAAUUAAGUUAUGAACAUUGGGAAUUUUUCACAUAAUGCUAUUAUUCAUACACACAACUUUUAUAUGCCCUGGGAAACCAAAGAAUUUGUGUGACUUACUUUAUUGUAGUGGUCUGGAACCAAAUCCACAAUAUCUUUGAAGUAUGCCUGUAUAUGUGUGUGUGUAUAUAUAUAUAUGUGUGUGUGUGUAUAUAUAUGUAUAUAUAUUACAUGCAUACACAUAGAUUAACAUUUUAAAAGUACAUAUACUUUAUAUGCAUAUGUAUAUAUGUGUGUGUACAUAUAUACAUAUGUACACACACAUAUAUACAUAUGUAUGUGUACAUAUGUAUAUAUGUAUGUGUACAUACAUAUAUACAUAUGCAUAUAUACAUAUGCAUAUAAAGUAUAUGUACUUUUAAAAUGUUAAUCUAUGUGUAUGCAUGUAAUAUAUAUGUACACAUGUAUAUAUGUAUAUAUGUGUGUGUACAUAUGUAUAUAUGUACACACACAUAUAUACAUAUGCAUAUAAAGUAUAUGUACUUUUAAAAUGUUAAUCUAUGUGUAUGCAUGUAAUAUAUAUACAUAUGUAUAUAGGCACACACAGACAUAUGCAUACAUACACAUAUAUAGCAGGGUCCUAAAAUAUAUAUAGCUAUAUAUACACAUAUAUAGCAGGGUCCUAAAAUAUAUGUAGCUAUGUAUACACAUAUAUAGCAGGGUCCUAAAAAUCUGUGACCAUGCAGUUAUCAUCUCCAGGAAAUUAUUAUGAGUCUAUUUCAAUUACGAUACAAAUCUCUUCCCUAGUAAAUACAGUGCAGCCUAUAAACAUAGACAUUUGGGAAUAGAGAUACUUUCUUUCAAUGAAAUAACAUUACAUUCCUUGCAAACUUAGAUUAUUUUCAAAAGACUGACCAAAAUGUAUUUUUGGAAAGAAAGAGAAUAAGACAAAAAAAAAAAAAAAAAACCAUAGCAAAAUUUCAGGAUAAAAAAAUGCUGCUCAAAUUAGCUUUUCUCACAAAAUGCUGCACCACAUAGUGAUAUUUAGUCCCAAAGAGGCAGUAGUUUUUCACCAUAGGCCUUCUGUCCCUGUGGACUGCCCUUUCUAUGGCUCCCACCCACUCCCCUUUUGUAUCUGUAAUCACUGUGUUGAACAUGGAUGGCACUGAUAACAUUUUGCAUUCCAUUUUCUUCCUCUUAGUCUUGUGUUAUUCAGAUGCACUGACCCCAUAAAAUGUUAUGAGGUAAAAGCUACUCUCAUGACCUGUAGAAAUGAAUGUCACUUUCUAAGGUAUCAGGGAAGAUUUGAGUCCUGGGAGAAUAUGCUGCUCUCCCUAAUGGCAAUUCAUGUAUCACUUUGAUGCUCAAAAAGUAACGACGCUGUCUCUUCCCCAAAGAAGAAUGAAGCAUAUGUGAAGCCAUCGUUUUCUUCACAAGGUCAGAGAACAAAGUACUUCGAAGCCAAAUGAGGAAAUUGGGGCGUGAAGAUAACUAUUUUAGAAUAUUUCUGGAAAUAUGGUAACCAGUCAAGACAGCAUUUAUUUUAAAGUGUGGUGUUAUAAUUUUGCACAGAAAUUUUUUAUGAGAAUAUUUUUGUCACUUUCAGAGAGAUCUAUUAUGAUAUGCAGGGCUGAAGGGAACAUGUUGACAUGUCUGAGAGCUAAAACAAACGUGAAGAAUGAAGCUGAAAAUAACCAGCUGUGAAGAAAGCAUUACAAAGCGCUGGGUGGCACUCAGCAUUGUACAUCUAGAAUUCAGAGAUGUGUUAGGAGAAUGCAAUAACAUGGCACUCGUAGCAAGCUUUUCCAAGAAGAAAUUAAGAAGGGCACAUCAUUUGCUAUUAUAGACUAAGGUAAUUGGUAUCUACGUAUCUGUGCUCUUCUGCUGCCAAUAGGGAUAUGCAUGAAAAAGAUGCAGCUGCACCUCUCUUUGCACAGUGGAUUCCCGAAAAUCUCUGUGCAAAUAAAUCCCAUUAUAAAACCAGAAAUGAUUCAUCUUUUCUGAUUGAUCUUCAAUAUAAAUGGUUCUUAACAUUUAACCUUUAAGAUCCUUUGUCUGAGCCACAUGGGGUUCAACUUCCUUCUCUAUACUACUGGCUCCUAAAUAUUAGUUCUUAAUGAAGUGUUCACCAUGCUCUUGUGAAAUAAGAAAAUGAAGGGAAAUGAAGUAACAUUUUGGGAGAUAAAUGUAUUCAAAUUAAAUGGCCUUGUUUAAUUCUGAGAUUAUGCCAUUAUGUUUUCCCUUUUUGAUGUUAAAAAGACCUUUUCUUUUAUGAAAUCAUGCUAACAGUAGAUGUUCAUUUAUAGUGUGUUGCUUAUAAUUUUACUGGUUUCUGAAAUCUAAAACUAUUUGUAUCUCAAUAUGCAACCAUACAAAACAUCUCAAGCCAACCUCUGCCAAGAGUUAAUGCAUUUUUCAACAAACGAAUAAAUAUAGAACUUACUUUAUAAAGAAAAUAUCCCAGGCUUCAUCUUAUAAUGCAAAGAGGUGUUAUCUAGCUAUUCUGGGUUUUGACACUGGAUGUUACAUAUUUCUCUUCCUUUCAUCAAAUUCAUCGAACUGGUUAUAU